CGGGGAGUAGCGUAGCUGGCUAUCGCAUCUGCUUUGGGAGCAGAGGGUCGUGGGUUCAAAUCCCUCCUCCCCGACCA
rnacentral:tRNA from 1 species